rnacentral:rRNA from 1 species
ACACUCCUGCGGGAGGCAGCAGUGGGGAAUUUUGGACAAUGGGCGAAAGCCUGAUCCAGCAAUGCCGCGUGAGUGAAGAAGGCCUUCGGGUUGUAAAGCUCUUUUGUCAGGGAAGAAACGGUGAGAGCUAAUAUCUUUUGCUAAUGACGGUACCUGAAGAAUAAGCACCGGCUAACUACGUGCCAGCAGCCGCGGUAAUACGUAGGGUGCAAGCGUUAAUCGGAAUUACUGGGCGUAAAGCGUGCGCAGGCGGUUUUGUAAGUCUGAUGUGAAAUCCCCGGGCUCAACCUGGGAAUUGCAUUGGAGACUGCAAGGCUAGAAUCUGGCAGAGGGGGGUAGAAUUCCACGUGUAGCAGUGAAAUGCGUAGAUAUGUGGAGGAACACCGAUGGCGAAGGCAGCCCCCUGGGUCAAGAUUGACGCUCAUGCACGAAAGCGUGGGGAGCAAACAGGAUUAGAAACCCUAGUAGUCC